UACGGGAGGCAGCAGUGGGGAAUAUUGCACAAUGGGGGAAACCCUGAUGCAGCGACGCCGCGUGAAGGAAGAAGUAUCUCGGUAUGUAAACUUCUAUCAGCAGGGAAGAAAAUGACGGUACCUGACUAAGAAGCCCCGGCUAACUACGUGCCAGCAGCCGCGGUAAU
rnacentral:rRNA from 1 species